rnacentral:rRNA from 1 species
UACGGGGGGGGGCAAGCGUUGUUCGGAAUUACUGGGCGUAAAGGGCGCGUAGGCGGUCUACUAAGUUGGAUGUGAAAACUCUGGGCUUAACCCAGAGCCUGCAUUCAAAACUGAUAGGCUGGAGUUCUGGAGGGGAUAGCGGAAUUCCUGGUGUAGCGGUGAAAUGCGUAGAUAUCAGGAGGAACACCGGUGGCGAAGGCGGCUAACUGGUCCGAUACUGACGCUGAGGUGCGAAAGCAUGGGGGAGCGAACAGG